rnacentral:rRNA from 1 species
GUAGGGAAUAUUGGACAAUGGGGGCAACCCUGAUCCAGCGACGCCGUGUGAGUGACGAAGGCCUUCGGGUCGUAAAGCUCUGUUGCAAGGGAAAAACAAAAUGAUGGUACCUUGCUAGAAAGGAUCGGCUAACUUCGUGCCAGCAGCCGCGGUAAGACGAGGGAUCCUAGCGUUGUUCGGAAUUAUUGGGCGUAAAGCGGGUGUAGGUGGCUUUGUAAGUCAGGUGUGAAAGCCUGGGGCUUAACCCCAGAAGUGCAUUUGAUACUGCGAAGCUUGAGUGCUGGAGAGGCUACUAGAAUUCUUGGUGUAGUGGUGAAAUACGUAGAUAUCAAGAGGAAUACCGGAGGCGAAGGCGGGUAGCUGGCCAGACACUGACACUCAGACCCGAAAGCGUGGGGAUCAAACAGGAUUAGAAACCCGGGUAGUCC